CCUACGGGAGGCAGCAGUGGGGAAUCUUGCACAAUGGGCGGAAGCCUGAUGCAGCGACGCCGCGUGAGGGAUGACGGCCUUCGGGUUGUAAACCUCUUUCAGCAGGGACGAAGCGCAAGUGACGGUGCCUGCAGAAGAAGGGCCGGCCAACUACGUGCCAGCAGCCGCGGUAAU
rnacentral:rRNA from 1 species